UGAUACCAGGGUCAAAAGGGCUAAACCCACAUGAGCUUGCUCAUAGGUGGGUGAAUGACCUUGUGACCCGCCCCGAUAUGAGAAUAAAAGUGGGAUGAUAAUCCCACGAUAUGCGAAUAUUGGGGAGAAUUGUGAGAGUGCGUAGCAUGGAACAAUCCGUAGGUAUCA
rfam:Eubacterium sp. CAG:252 genomic scaffold, scf144